AUAUUACUCUAAGUGUCACCUAAGAAAUUGCAUUGAAGUCUAACAUUCCAAGCUUACUUUAAAUUGACAAUCUAAUUUGUAUUGAGUGCAUUAAAUGGCACUAAGAAAUGCCUUUUCAAAAUUGGAUUAUUGAAACUGCCAAGGCAACCGCCACCUUGCACUAAACAAUUCACCAAAAAUUCAGUUCAACUUCAAAUUGAGCAGGCCUUAGCUCGUUGGA
rnacentral:lncRNA from 1 species